GAGCGGGCCGGGAGCCGGGGAGUGUGCGGGGCGCUGCGGGGUCCCGGGCUGAGGAGCGCGCUGCGCUGCCGCUUUGUCUAAGAAGAGACAGCGUUGUGUAUGUUACAGUGUCUGAGUCCUGUGCUGCUUCCUCAAAGCGGUUGAAAGAGAACUCGAGCCAGAAGCGGCGUCACGGAGACGAAGGCCGACCUUGAGAAAAACACCCCGAAGGAUCUGGGAGAAAUGGAGGCUCCCGAAGCGCAGCGGAAGCGCGCAGCCACCGAAGAUGCGGCCCGCGAGACGGCUGAGGUGCUUCCCUCGGGGUGCCGGCGGCCCUGGGCAGGUGCAGGCCGCUGCGGCCGCGGCUGGCUGCUCAGGCCCCAGGACGGUCCCCGUCCCGUUUCUGGCUGCAGUCAGCGAAGAGUAAUCGCUUCUGUGGUUGGAGCAGAAGUGGGAUUCCCUUCGGAGUGAAGGGUCUGUGAUCUGUUUUCCCUGCUCAGCUGUUCUGUGAACAAGUUUUUAAAAAGCCCUCAGACAGCGAAGAGGAAGGCCGAACGCUGAGGAGAUAAAGGACUGAAGCCUGGGUAGUGCCGCCAGGGACUUCGAUGGGGAGCGAAGCGCUGGGGAUGGGGGGCGGUGAGAACAUCCUCAGGGGUAACCAGUCAUGUUUCUAAUUCUGGAACUCUCCGGGCGGAGCUGCAGUUGAUUUUAGAUUCACAUCUUUUUUAAGAUUUUGAUGUAUUUACUUAUUUAGCGCGCAAGUAGGCGAAGGGGCAGAGGGAGACAGAAUCUCAAGCAGACUCGCACUGAGAGGGAGCCCAGCGCGGGGGGGGGGGGCGGGGGGGUGUCCUAAGGACCCUGGAUCCCGACCUCAGCGGAAAUCAGUAGUGGCUCUCUUAACGAACGGAGCCACCCAGGCGCCCCGUGGGUUAGUAUUUGUUUUUAAUGAAAGCGAGGUAAGGCCAAAAUGUCCAAAGUCGUCUUAAUAUUUGAAAUAAUUUUUUUUAAAGAUUUUAUUUAUUUAUUUGACCGAGAGACACAGCGAGAGAGGGAACACAGGCAGGGGGAGUGGGAGAGGGAGAAGCAGGCCUCCUGCCGAGCAGGGAGCCCGAUGCGGGGCUCGAUCCCAGGACCCUGGGACCGUGACCCAAGCCGAAGGCAGACGCUCAACGACUGAGCCACCCAGGCGCCCUUGCCUCACCCUUCUUAUAAAACAUUCCAUUUUAUAUACUUCCUCAGAUGCUGCCCAAUUCAUGGAUCAUUUAAUGGAGUCAAUUAGAUCUUCAAAUUUACUUGGUUGAAUUUUGUUUUUUAUUUUUUUAUUAUUUUUUUAAAUAUUUUAUUUAUUUAUUUGACAGAGAGAGACUCAGCGAGAGAGGGAACACAAACAGGGGGAGUGGGAGACGGACAAGCAGGCCUCCUGCCGAGCAGGGAGCCCGAUGCGGGGCUCGAUCCCAGGACCCUGGGACCGUGACCCAAGCCGAAGGCAGACGCUCAACGACUGAGCCAUCCAGGCAGACGCCCCUGAGAUAAUACUUUUUAAGUUCUAUGUGUGGUAUGUUCCAGACCCUGUUCUAAACACCUCCCAUGUUAUUUCAUUACCUUGUAAGAAAAGUUCUGAUAUGUAUUGUGUUUAUCUAAGGAGGGAACUGGUGUACAUAGAGAUUAAAUGACUUGCCCGAGAUCGCACGUUUAGUAACUGGUGAAGCGGAAAGAUGAACGUCUGAUACCAGAGUCUGCGCUUACAACCACUGUACUUGUUUGACCACCUCAGUAGUGCUGAGUGUAUUGUGGAAAAGGACUGGAAUAAAAACCAGUGGUUCUGAUCCCUGCACUGCAUGUAAGAAGGUCUCAAUACUUGGUGAACUCUUCAGCCUUUUCUUUCAAGAGACAUUGGCCCAAUCAAAGUGCUCAUUUUAUUUAUUAUUUCAUUCACUCAACAAAUGUUUCUGGAGCACUACCAAUUCAUGUGACUCUAUAUUGGAUUUUAGGAAUUUAAAGACAGGUGAGAUUCAGUCCCACUCCUCUAAUGGCUCACACUCGAGCAUGGAGACAGCAGGUGCUGUAAGUGGUGUCAUAGAGGCAGAAGUUACGUAUUAUAGUCUGGGAGCAUAGAGAAGGAGUACUUAAUAAAGAAUUUCUUUGAGAGGGGUGCCUGGGUGGCUCAUGCGGUUAAGCGGCUGCCUUCGACUCAGGUCAUGAUCCCAGAGUCCUGGGAUCGAGCCCCGCAUCGGGCUCCCUGCUCAGUGGAGAGCUUGCUUCUCCCUCUGCCCCUCUGCCUACUUUUUUUUUUUUUAAGAUUUUAUUUAUUUAUUUGAGAGAGAGAGAGAAUGAGAGACAGAGAGCACAAGAGGGAAGAGGGCAGAGGGAGAAGCAGACCCCCUGCUGAGCAGGGAGCCCGAUGCGGAACUCGAUCCCGGGACUCCAGGAUCAUGACCUGAGCCGAAGGCAGUCGUUUAACCAACUGAGCCACCCAGGCGCCCCCUCUCUGCCUACUUGUGCUCUCUCUCUGUCAAAUAAAUAAAAUCUUAAAAAAAAAAAAAAAAAGAAUUUGUUUGAGAAAAGUGUAGAAAAGACUCUGGAGGGGAUGAAAUAUGAGGUGAAGCUUAAUAGAUGCAAUGAGUUGAAGAUGGACUGGAGUGGAAGAUGGGAAAAAAGAGAUACUUGAAUGUGAGUUCAAUUAAUGGACCUUGUAGGAAAUGGAAGCCAUUCAUGAGAUAGCUGAAUUAUCUCCAAACUUAAAAUACUUUAGAGAGUUUUUAUUUUUAUUGUGUAUUUAUUUAGAAAGAUGAUUUUAUUUUAAAAUAUAGAUAGAAGCAAAACAGGAAACCUGGAGACAAGGGCAAAGAAUAAGAAGGCGCAGCCAGCAAAUUAUGAGGAAAAUGAACAAACAAAAAUCGGUCAGGGCAAACAAGGGAGGAGAGUUUCAAAUAAGAGGUUGAUGACAUCAGUGUCAUACAGAGAUCAGUUGGGAAUUUCUGUGUUCUAGGCAUGUUAUAGGCUCCUUAUAUGUACUAAAUCAUCCAAGAACACUUUGCUGUUUAAUCCUCACAACAACCCCAUUUUACGGAUGAGGGAAAUGAAGUACAAGGAAGUUAAGUGUUUUGUGCAAGAUCAUGCUGCUGGUCACACAAAAGUUGGGAAGAGAAAGACAGAUCUCAACUAGCCUAUGUCCCAGUCUGGGCUGAGGAGGAGCAAAGAGCUGCCUAAAGAAAGGAGUAGCUGCGACAAACCGCAGAGGUCAAGAUGGCCACCGGCCAGUGGAACCGGCUGCCUGGGUCCACACUCACCAGCCACCCUCACGAGCACCACCCAGGCGCCGCGAGGACAGCAGAGCUGCCGUCCCCAAGCAUUACAACUUCCGGAAUGGAGAAGCAGAAGCUCACUCUUCAGACAUGGUCCUGAUGAUGCCUUUGUGCUCCUUUGUGGCCUCCCAGUUCGUGCCGUUGAAUCCCUCCACGACCACACUCCACCCAGUGCCCUCCUCCAGGCAGUGUGGGGCCAUUCCAGAGCCUCCAGGGUGAGCGGGGCGUGUAGAGGCUCUGAAUGCCACCCCCGUACAGAAGGUGAUGAGAGAAAAACUCUCUGAAGACCUCAUACACAGGGGAAGCCGUUUUAAAUUUCUUUCUGAGGUAGCAUGACCAUAUAUAAACUUUGCUCAAACCAAAAGCCUAGCGUUUGGCGCACCACGAAUACGCGUACAUCUGCUUUGUAAUGAGUAGCCUAAAGGAAAACCAGCUUGUCCUUGAGGUAUCGAUGGAUACUCCUACUCCCGGCGUUCCUUUGCGGUAAAACUCAUUCCUGCCUGUGUGCCAAUCUAUAGUCUUUGAGCUCUUACAAGAUGUAAAAAAGUAUAUGACCCUGUAAAAACUGUUCCUUCUCCAGAACAUUUUCUUCCCUGUGAAGAGCGUGUUUCCUGGCAGCCGGCCUAAGUUGGGCUCAAAUAAAACUCUUUUUUCUUACUUUCA